CAGGCGCACUUCAAAAGUCCAUUCCCACACUAGGGUGGUUUGAUAGGUGAUUUACUCGCAUCUAUAACUAAACCUUAAACAUUGCUCCCAUGCAGGAAGUCUAUCAGCUUUCCAUGUUGUGAAAGAUAAAUUCAAGGUAAUUUACUAGGGCGGGAACGAACUUUUGAAGUACGCCUCCGUACUCGUAUUCUUCUUCUUAUCAUUGCUGUUGUUGACCUGGCUAAAUUGAUCCGGACCCAUCUUUUUAUGCUAGGUUCUUUCCUCUCGACUGUUUUGACUCUGGGUGGCUCUGCGAAGAGAAGUCUGGAUCUUAGGCCCCUUGCAGUUGUUCGCAUUCUGUUUCUAUGCUGGGGCAAGUCCGCACAGCACUGUACUGUACAUAGUA
rnacentral:sRNA from 1 species